AGGAAGUCCAGGCAGAUAGCGGCAGUCAAGGCCAAGUGUGCCAGGCAGUCCUCUUGCGAGAUGUCUCUGAUCCCAGAUGUCUGAGGCCAGGUGUCAUUGCUGCCCUAGGCGUGUGAAGGAACAGAGUCAAGCGGGUAUCCUCCUGGCAGCCUGUUGAGUCGCAUCAAGAUUUCAGGUACCGUGAGGAGGCGCAUAGCUGAAGUUUGGAAACGGCAGCACCGAAGCGGAUGUAGAGAACAUGUCGCCGUCCACGUCCGGCUGACGAUGGAUUUUGUCCGGUCGUCUUGCAA